UUGGCAGUGCAGCUCCCCUGCAUAUGUCGGUACUUUCUUAGUGAAAUAAUCCAAGAGACAGGUGGCUGGUCAUCGAAAUGUACAGUUCUGUGUGAUUUAUUCUAUCAAAGUUAGGUUCAGAUGCAAACGCAGAGAUCCUACUAUCAUAAGCAAUCUUAGGACAGCAAGACUGACUGGUAUAUUUCUCUAAUGUCACCAGCAUCUUAUAGACAAGAUUCUUCCUCUGGCCAGGAUACUAGACACCUCCUCUUGUGAACGCACAUGUGGCCUUGUCCUUGUGGCACUAUGCAUUCAUGCUCAGGACGGCGAAGAUCAAGGUCAAUGGAGCAGCCUUUGUCCCUUACUGAUGGCCCCAAGAGCAGAGCUUCAGGGAACCACUGUCAAGCUCCCCAGCAAUGAGAUCAAAGGCAUCAGCCCACCUCCAGCCCCCGCCCCACUUGAUUGUCUGACCAUUGACUUCCUCCGUAUCUGGUCUGGCCGUGCCACCAGCAGACAGACAGCUAUCAGAGCUCCACAGAAGUUGAGCAGCUUCCUCGGGGCCUGAGCUGUGGAACUACAGAAUUCCCAGCAUCCCAGAGACCUGAAGCCGCUGCUGAUAAACCUAUAAAGAUGCA